GCCGGGCGUGGUGGCGCAUGCCUGUAGUCCCAGCUACUUGGGAGGCUGAGGCAGGAGAAUUGCUUGAACCCAGGAGGCAGAGGUUGCAGUGAGCCGAGAUCACACCACUGCACUCCAGCCUGGGUGACAGAGCAAGAUUCUGUCUGAA
rnacentral:sRNA from 1 species